rnacentral:rRNA from 1 species
UGGGGAAUAUUGCACAAUGGCGGGAACUCUGAUGCAGCGACGCCGCGUGAGUGAUGAAGGAAUUCGUUUCGUAAAACUCUGUUCUAUGGGAAGAAAAGGACUGUACCAUAGGAGAAAGCUCCGGCUAAAUACGUGCCAGCAGCCGCGGUAAUACGUAUGGAGCGAGCGUUGUCCGGAAUUAUUGGGCGUAAAGGGUGCGCAGGCGGCUUUACAAGUUGGAUGUGAAAUAUUGUGGCGCAACCACAAACGUGCAUCCCAAACUGCAAAGCUUGAGUUAAGGAGAGGUAAGUGGAAUUCCUGGUGUAGCGGUGGAAUGCGUAGAUAUCAGGAGGAAUACCGGUGGCGAAGGCGACUUACUGGACUUGAACUGACGCUCAGGCACGAAAGCGUGGGGAGCAAACAGG